GAGUUUGAUCUUGGCUCAGAUUGAACGCUGGCGGCAUGCCUUACACAUGCAAGUCGAACGGCAGCACGGGAGCUUGCUCCUGGUGGCGAGUGGCGAACGGGUGAGUAAUGCAUCGGAACGUAUCCUGGAGUGGGGGAUAACGUAGCGAAAGUUACGCUAAUACCGCAUAUUCUGUGAGCAGGAAAGCGGGGGACCUUCGGGCCUCGCGCUCUUGGAGCGGCCGAUGUCGGAUUAGUUAGUUGGUAGAGGUAAAGGCUCACCAAGGCGACGAUCCGUAGCAGGUCUGAGAGGAUGAUCUGCCACACUGGAACUGAGACACGGUCCAGACUCCUACGGGAGGCAGCAGUGGGGAAUUUUGGACAAUGGGGGCAACCCUGAUCCAGCCAUGCCGCGUGAGUGAAGAAGGCCU
rnacentral:rRNA from 1 species